GCGGGCUUAGCUCAGUUGGUAGAGCGUGACCUUGCCAAGGUCGAGGUCGUCGGUUCGAGCCCGAUAGCCCGCUCCA
rnacentral:tRNA from 1 species